CCGCCGCCGCCGCCGCCGGCUGUUCAGAGCUUCGAGAUGAGCGAGAGCGGCCUCCCCCGGAAGGAGGCGACCGUGCUCAAGGGCCACGAGGGCGCGGUUCUGGCCGCCCGGUUCAACGGCGACGGCAACUACUGCCUCAGCUGCGGCAAGGACCGCACCAUCCGCCUCUGGAACCCCCACCGUGGCAUCCACAUCAAGACCUACAAGUCCCACGGCCGCGAAGUCCGCGACGUCCACUGCACCUCGGACAAUUCGAAGUUGAUAUCUUGCGGCGGUGACCGGCAGAUAUUCUAUUGGGAUGUGUCGACUGGCCGAGUCAUUAGGAAAUUUCGUGGGCACGACAGCGAGGUGAACACGGUAAAGUUUAACGAAUAUGCAUCUGUCGUAGUAUCAGCUGGCUAUGAUCGUUCAGUGCGUGCUUGGGACUGCAGAUCUCAUAAUGCUGAACCGAUUCAGAUCAUCAACACAUUUCAAGACAGUGUUAUGUCUGUUUGCUUAACAAAAACUGAAAUAAUUGGUGGAAGCGUUGAUGGUACCGUUCGAACAUUUGACAUUCGUAUUGGUAGAGAAAUAUCUGACGACUUGGGGCAACCUGUCAACUGUAUUUCAAUGUCAAAUGAUGGUAACUGCAUAUUGGCGAGUUGUUUAGAUUCAACACUGCGUCUUGUAGAUAGGUCUACUGGUGAGCUAUUGCAAGAAUAUAAGGGCCAUACUUGCAAGUCCUACAAAUUGGAUUGCUGUCUUACUAAUAGUGAUGCACAUGUGACUGGUGGAUCUGAGGAUGGCUAUGUCUUCUUCUGGGAUUUGGUCGAUGUGUCAGUGAUAUCCAAAUUCCGAGCUCAUGCGUCUGUGGUGACAAGUGUAAGUUAUCAUCCGAAGGAAGACUGUAUGAUCACUGCCUCCGUGGAUGGCACAAUUAAGGUGUGGAAGACGUGAAACUGUUCAGCUUGCCCCAGGCAAUGCAUCGUUUCAUGCUCCAUUGGGAGACGAUAUUGCGGUCGUGCGGUCUAAAUAUACCAGUUUAAUCAAGGGCUGUAUUGUAUCCUUCACUCCUGUCAUUGCGCAGAAGGUGCGAGUUCGGCAUUCUCUCGUAUGUGCGCGGUGAAGCAUCGCAAAGUUUCGAACUGUUUGCUCUUCAAGCACCGAGAUAAAAGAAUGUCCAAAGAAAAACGUCUUUCACGAGAUGGACCAUAUGGACUUUGGUCCUGUUUACUUUUUCCUGGGUUUGAUGAAUGAUGUGCUUACGCAACAGUAGGCUUUUUACCAAUUACAUUAGAGCAGACAAAAUCAACAUAGGAUGAUUUUAUUGACCAAGUCUUGCUAAGAAUUUGGCCAAACAAUUUAAGUCUUGCUAUUCUACGGGUCGCGUCAA